CGAAAUGCGAUAAGUAAUGUGAAUUGCAGAAUUCCGUGAAUCAUCGAAUCUUUGAACGCACAUUGCGCCCUCUGGCAUUCCGGGGGGCAUGCCUGUCCGAGCGUCAUUACGCAUCCUCAAGCCCGGCUGGUGUGAUGGGCCCUGGCGUCUCGUUCGCGAGACGGGCCCGAAAGGCAGCGGCGGCGUCGACCCGAUGAGCCCGAGCGUAUGGGGACUUUUGUCACACGUUUGCGGUGCGGACCGGCGCCUGCUUGACUUUUCUGAUUAUCCAGGUUGACCUCGGAUCAGGUAGGGAUACCCGCUGAACUUAAGC
rnacentral:misc_RNA from 1 species